GUGUCAGCAGCCGCGGUAAUAGGGGCAGCUCUUGUGAUGACCGAUUUUAUUGGGCCUAAAGGGUCCGUAGCUGGCCGCGCAAGUCUGUCGGGAAAACCAGCCGCUUAACGGGUGGGCGUCCGGCGGAAACUGUGCGGCUUGGGAGAGGAAGGCUCGAGGCCUACGUUCGGGGUACGAGUGAAAUCCCGUAAUCCAGGACGGACCGCCGAUGGCGAAAGCACGUCGCGAGGACGGAUCCGACAGUGAGGGACGAAAGCCAGGGUCUCGAACCGGAUUAGAAACCCCCGUAGUCC
rnacentral:rRNA from 1 species